rnacentral:tRNA from 1 species
GGCUUGUGGCUCAGUGGCAGAGUGCUUGCCUCACAUGUAUGUGGCACUGGGUUGGAUCCUCAACACCA